AUUGAACGCUGGCGGCAGGCCUAACACAUGCAAGUCGAGCGGAUGAAGGGAGCUUGCUCCUGGAUUUAGCGGCGGACGGGUGAGUAAUGCCUAGAAUCUGCCUGGUAGUGGGGGAUAACGUCCGGAAACGGGCGCUAAUACCGCAUACGUCCUGAGGGAGAAAGUGGGGGAUCUUCGGACCUCACGCUAUCAGAUUAGCCUAGGUCGGAUUAGCUAGUUGGUGGGGUAAAGGCCUACCAAGGCGACGAUCCGUAACUGGUCUGAGAGGAUGAUCAGUCACACUGGAACUGAGACACGGUCCAGACUCCGACGGGAGGCAGCAGUGGGGAAUAUUGGACAAUGGGCGAAAGCCUGAUCCAGCCAUGCCGCGUGUGUGAAGAAGGUCUUCGGAUUGUAAAGCACUUUAAGUUGGGAGGAAGGGCAGUAAGUUAAUACCUUGCUGUUUUGACGUUACCAACAGAAUAAGCACCGGCUAACUUCGUG
rnacentral:rRNA from 1 species